AUCCAGUUGACGAGUCCAAAAUAGGACGAAAUGCGCUUUAUCCUGGAU
rnacentral:hammerhead_ribozyme from 1 species